GAUGAACGCUGGCGGCGUGCCUAAUACAUGCAAGUCGAGCGAACAGACGAGGAGCUUGCUCCUCUGACGUUAGCGGCGGACGGGUGAGUGACACGUGGAUAACCUACCUAUAAGACUGGGAUAACUUCGGGAAACCGGAGCUAAUACCGGAUAAUAUAUUGAACCGCAUGGUUCAAUAGUGAAAGACGGUUUUGCUGUCACUUAUAGAUGGAUCCGCGCCGCAUUAGCUAGUUGGUAAGGUAACGGCUUACCAAGGCAACGAUGCGUAGCCGACCUGAGAGGGUGAUCGGCCACACUGGAACGGAGACACGGUCCAGACGCCGACGGGAGGCAGCAGUAGGGAAUCUUCCGCAAUGGGCGAAAGCCUGACGGAGCAACGCCGCGUGAGUGAUGAAGGUCUUCGGAUCGUAAAACUCUGUUAUUAGGGAAGAACAAAUGUGUAAGUAACUAUGCACGUCUUGACGGUACCUAAUCAGAAAGCCACGGCUAACUACGU
rnacentral:rRNA from 1 species